rnacentral:lncRNA from 1 species
GAACCAAACGCCAACAGUGUGGCCUGGAACACCCAGUGUGAGGACAUGCAUGCUCUGCUUCUCGGGAGGAGGCUACCUCAACAUCAAAGCCAGCACCUUCCCUAUGCACCGGCAGAAGCUGCAGGGCUUUGUGGUCGGCUACAAUGGCUCCAAGAUCUUCUGCCUCCAUGUCUUCUCCAUUUCUGCCGUGGAGGUGCCGCAG